rnacentral:lncRNA from 1 species
AGUUCUAUUCUGCAAGCUCAGAGAUGCAAAAAGCCUGCGGCGCUCUGGAGGCGCCUGGUCCUGGGGACCUCUUUCCUCCACUCUGUUCUCAGCAUAGGAAGAUGGGGCUGGGGAAUUCUUUUUGGUUUUCUGGUUUUGUUUUGCUCUGGUUUUGGUCGGGGUUUUGUAUUUUUCUAUUCUUCCUUGGUUUUAUUUUUUCCUUUUUUUCCUUUUUUUUUUUCUUUUGCUUUCCUGUCAUUCUCCCAGCCAAAAGCCGCCUUCGACCCUUUUGAUUUGAUGUAGCAAAGAGUGUGUGUCCAGAUUAUCUGAAAUAGACACUGAAGAAGCAGCUCCUGCCUAAAGAUUUCCUCUUCUGAUUAAAGGCAUGAGGCUGUGCGCAGAAACAUUUCAUGCAGCAUGUUGGUUGGAGCAAAAGAGAAAAACAAAAGAAAGAGGAAAAAAACAAAACAAAAAACAACAGUCCAAAAUUCGUAAACCAAUAAAGGGUUUGCCAUCGCCUGAAAGGUUUUUUGUUUUGUUUUUGUUUUUUCCUUAAUCGCCAAACCACAAGGUGAGGCUUUGUAACACCAACCAACUAAGAACUCCAACUCGCCUCGUCCUGGUCUUCCUGUCGUACUCGCGAUUUUAAUAGCUCCUUCUUAGUGCCUGUUUUGGGGUGUGGAGUGCCGUCCUGUGCGCCCAACGCAGCCGCUUGGAUGCCAUCUGAACCGAAGGUCUCUUCGCCUUGCGGGCCUUGCCCAUUCCUACAGUCAGAACUAGGAGGCCUUGCUGGCCCUAGGUGAUUGGAAUUUGUUGGUGACACCAAUCAUGCCAUCAGCCAGGAAUGGGCCACCAUGGAGCGCAUGCCACUUGCUGACAGAGAGCAAGGGACUUAAUCGCCUCUAGUUACUGGGUGUUAAUGAAAAAACAAAACAAACAGAAAACCAAACAGCACAUUAUGCCGGUAACAGAAUUAGAGGUUGGAUGGCUGCGGUCUCCUAAAUGUGUCGUCCUUUGCAGGACCGCAAGCCUCAGCAAAGGCCAGUUUCAUCCAGGGGCCCCAGCUCUCCACAGAGGAGCCCAGCAUCUAGUUACCUAUGGUGAAAGCCAUGCCCUCCUCCAUGGGCAGAUCAUUGUCAUUUGCUGCAAAGCAAACAUAGGAAGGUCCAAAUGAAGUCUUGGGAGAAAGCUGCCAAAGGAAUGCAGGAUGGAGCCAGAGGCAGGGCUCCAUUCUUCAACAGCUGCCAGCACUGGCAUUGCCUGGCACACGGACUCCAACCCUGAAAUCUUUACCUGCAAGAACGGGAAGCUUUGGUGCUAUUGAGACCAAGUGGAUAUGGUUAUUGUGCAGUGCCAGAUUGAUAACAAGACACACAACGCUAACGAUUUAUAUUUUCAUGUGGGCAGAGGGCGUGGCGCCUGUAGCCCCGCCCACAGCAGUGAGCAGGUGGUUCUGGAACCGUCCCUGCGAUUCCUACCGGAUCCAAACGUGUGCGUUCUCAAACUCAUCUCUAACAGACUCUAGUUCAGUUUCACACAGACCCUUCUGGCUAACGUCUUCAGGAAACAUCGCAUCUGCGUACACUUUUGAAAACUUUUUUUUUUUCCCAGCUGCCUCUGAAUUCACCAACCUCAAGCGCUUGUGCCACCAUGUCUAGGUUAAUUUUUAAGAACAUUUGAAAGCACUCCCAGAUUCUUCUCCACUUAGACGAGGAUGUCCUUGGGACCAGCAGAGAGGCAGCACUGCAUGGAAAUUGAGUUUUGGUACAGCCAGUGGGGCAGAUACCCUGAGCAAUGCCAUGGAGAGGAGAAGCCAGCCUUCUUCUCUGGAGCUGUGCUUUGGGGUCCAGGCUGCUUUGCAGACCCCAGGCUUUGGCCAGGAGGUGUUUUUGGAAAACAUCUUCCUCACCAUCUCUCCUAGUUCCACACACCAUAUAAACCAGAGGAUGGAGAGGAGAUAAAGGAAGAACCACAAGACCUCACGACAGCCUGAAUUAGGAUUUGUUUUUUCCCACACGAGAAUGAGUUCUAACAUCCGUGAGUUGUUAGCUCAGUCCCAACAAGCCUCAAUAAUUUGAAAAGCAUUUCAAUAUAAAGCGUUCUAGUGUUUGUUUAUUUAUUUGUUUAUUUCUUGUUGUUUUGUUUGGGGGGGACAGGGUUGCUCUGUGUAGCCCUAGCUUUCUUGGAACUCACUUUGUACACAAGGUUGGUCUUGAACUCAGGGAUCCACCUGUCUAGGAUCCCUGGGAUUAAAAGCAUCCGCCAUUAUACCCAGCUAGUAUUUUCUUAAAAGACAUAAUAAAAUAAAAUACUAGUCUUA